CGCAGGGUAGAGCAGUUGGCAGCUNNCGGGCUCAUAACCCGGAGGUCGCAGGUUCGAGUCCUGUCCCUGCUA
rnacentral:tRNA from 1 species